GAGCUGGCGCUGCAGUACUGGAACGAGAGGUACAACACUACGUUCCACAGGGCGCCAGGGGAGCUGACCCACAUUUUGAUGGAGACAUCAACUGGACGAAUAUACCACGUGAUGAUGAAUCUGGUCCAGGUUGAAUGCCCAAAGGACCAAAGUGGGAAUCUCCAGAGCUGUGAGAUAGUGCCCGGGACACCAAAAUUAGUGUGCAAGUUGGCGGUGAUCGUAUUUUUUCAACACGACAAAGCAUACAUUAGUGAGGAGGGAUGCCAAGAGGCCCCUCCGACCCCUCCGAACCCCACAGAGAUG